rnacentral:rRNA from 1 species
UUGACCUCAAAUCAGGUAGGACUACCCGCUGAACUUAAGCAUAUCAAUAAGCGGAGGAAAAGAAACUAACAAGGAUUCCCCUAGUAACUGCGAGUGAAGCGGGAAAAGCUCAAAUUUAAAAUCUGGCGGUCUUGCGGCCGUCCGAGUUGUAAUCUGGAGAAGCGUUUAUCCGCGUCGGACCGUGUACAAGUCUUCUGGAAGGGAGCGUCGUAGAGGGUGAGAAUCCCGUCUUUGACAC